GAUGAACGCUGGCGGCGUGCCUAAUACAUGCAAGUCGAGCGAACGGACGAGAAGCUUGCUUCUCUGAUGUUAGCGGCGGACGGGUGAGUAACACGUGGAUAACCUACCUAUAAGACUGGGAUAACUUCGGGAAACCGGAGCUAAUACCGGAUAAUAUUUUGAACCGCAUGGUUCAAAAGUGAAAGACGGUCUUGCUGUCACUUAUAGAUGGAUCCGCGCUGCAUUAGCUAGUUGGUAAGGUAACGGCUUACCAAGGCAACGAUGCAUAGCCGACCUGAGAGGGGGAACGGCCACACUGAAACUGAGACACGGUCCAGACUCCUACGGGAGGCAGCAGUAGGGAAUCUUCCGCAAUGGGCGGAAGCCUGACGGAGCAACGCCGCGGGAGUGAUGAGGGUCUUCGGAUCGUAAAACUCUGUUAUUAGGGAAGAACAUAUGUGUAAGUAACUGUGCACAUCUUGACGGUACCUAAUCAGAAAGCCACGGCUAACUACGU
rnacentral:rRNA from 1 species